UGCUCUUUGCAGGUGCUUGGCACCAGGUGGU
rnacentral:piRNA from 1 species